rnacentral:rRNA from 1 species
AAUUUUUUAUGGAGAGUUUGAUCCUGGCUCAGAGUGAACGCUGGCGGCGUGCCUAAUACAUGC